AUACUUACCUGGCAGGGGAGAUACCAUAAUCACGAAGGUGGUUUUCCCAGGGUGAGGCUUAGCCAUUGCACUCCGGAUGUGCUGACUCCUGCAAAAAAAGAUUAAAAAAAGAAGAAAAAAAAAACAACUCAGCAUCAGUAGUGUGUGUGUGUGUGUGUUGGGUCACACC